UGGGGAAUAUUGGACAAUGGGCGCAAGCCUGAUCCAGCCAUGCCGCGUGUGUGAAGAAGGCUUUCGGGUUGUAAAGCACUUUCAGUGGGGAAGAAGGCUUACCGAUCAAUACCCGGUAAGAAGGACAUCACCCACAGAAGAAGCACCGGCUAACUCCGUGCCAGCAGCCGCGGUAAUACGGAGGGUGCGAGCGUUAAUCGGAAUUACUGGGCGUAAAGCGCGCGUAGGUGGCUUGAUAAGCCGGUUGUGAAAGCCCCGGGCUCAACCUGGGAACGGCAUCCGGAACUGUCAGGCUAGAGUGCAGGAGAGGAAGGUAGAAUUCCCGGUGUAGCGGUGAAAUGCGUAGAGAUCGGGAGGAAUACCAGUGGCGAAGGCGGCCUUCUGGACUGACACUGACACUGAGGUGCGAAAGCGUGGGUAGCAAACAGG
rnacentral:rRNA from 1 species